AUGGUCGCACAACACUGUGAAUGCACUAAAUGUCACCGAAUUGUACACUUUCAAAUGUUUAAAAGUUUAUUUUACAUGUGGGUUUUAGGUCAAUCAAAAAGAAGAGCUGUUUUUGCAGGGUUCCCUGAGAACAGAGCACCGAAGUCUCCCAGGGCUGCACAUCUCUCCUUUCUUUACUGGACACUAGAGACAACCACAGGCUUAGGUUGGGACAUUGGAAUGUGCCUCUUCCCCUCUGGCGCUGACCGUCCCAAGAGGUGGAGCCAGAAAGGAGGAGGCGGAGCCAUGGAGGAAGGAGGUGGAGCUAGGGUGGGAGGAGGUGGAGCCAGAAAGGAGGAGGCGGAGCCAGGAAGGAAGGAGGCGGAGCCAGAAAGGAGGAGGCGGAGCCACGGAGGAGGAGGUGGAGCCAGGGUGGGAGGAGGUGGAGCCAGAAAGGAGGAGGCGGAGCCAUGGAGGAAGGAGGUGGAGCCAGGGAGGGAGGAGGUGGAGCCAGGGAGGGAGGAGGUGGAGCCAGAAAGGAGGAGGCGGAGCCAGGAAGGAAGGAGGCGGAACCAGAAAGGAGGAGGCGGAGCCACGGAGGAGGAGGUGGAGCCAGGGUGGGAGGAGGCGGAGCCACGGAGGAAGGAGGUGGAGCCAGGGUGGGAGGAGGUGGAGCCAUGGAGGAGGAGGUGGAGCCAGGGAGGGAGGAGGCGGAGCCAGAAAGGAGGAGGCGGAGCCAUGGAGGAAGGAGGUGGAGCCAGGGUGGGAGGAGGCGGAGCCAUGGAGGAGGAGGUGGAGCCAGGGAGGGAGGAGGCGGAGCCAGAAAGGAGGAGGCGGAGCCAGGGAGGAGGAGCCGCCAAGACAGGAGAAAGGUUUGGAGCUGUGAUGCGGGGUCCCUUGAGAUGGUCCCUCGGUUUAAGGGGACUAUUUCCGUCUGAGCGUCAUGCUGUAUUAUGUUCAUCAACAGCUCCAUGUGACUCAGUGGGGCACGUCCAUUCAUGGCGCUCUGUUGGGGUGCCCACCCUAGCGGGGGCCUGGAUACCACUGAGCCCUCCCACCUGCAGCCGACUUGUGAGGGGCACAGUCGAGCGAACGGUGCUCUGA
rnacentral:lncRNA from 12 species